AGGCCAGUGGCUGAGUGGUAAAGCACUUGGCUUCUGAACUGGGGGUCCUGGGUUCAAAUCCUGGUCAAGACUG
rnacentral:tRNA from 1 species